rnacentral:rRNA from 1 species
UACGAAGGGGGCUAGCGUUGCUCGGAAUCACUGGGCGUAAAGCGCACGUAGGCGGAUUCCUAAGUCGGGGGUGAAAUCCUGGAGCUCAACUCCAGAACUGCCUUCGAUACUGGGAAUCUUGAGUCCGGAAGAGGUGAGUGGAACUGCGAGUGUAGAGGUGAAAUUCGUAGAUAUUCGCAAGAACACCAGUGGCGAAGGCGGCUCACUGGCCCGAUACUGACGCUGAUGCACGAAAGCGUGGGGAGCAAACAGG